rnacentral:rRNA from 1 species
UACGGGGGGGGCAAGCGUUGUUCGGAAUUACUGGGCGUAAAGGGCUCGUAGGCGGCCAACUAAGUCAGACGUGAAAUCCCUCGGCUUAACCGGGGAACUGCGUCUGAUACUGGAUGGCUUGAAUCCGGGAGAGGGAUGCGGAAUUCCAGGUGUAGCGGUGAAAUGCGUAGAUAUCUGGAGGAACACCGGUGGCGAAGGCGGCUUGCUGGGCUUGGUCUGACGCUGAGGCGCGAAAGCGUGGGGAGCGAACAGG